UUCAGUUUUCAAGUCAACAGAAGAAAUCUUACUUAGAGACAACGACAAGAUCAAGAAGAAAGUUCACCAGCUGAAGGAGCUUCAGGAAUCUCUGCAAGACGAUAUUUAUGUUCUCGAAGAGCAGCUGUGUACGUUCCUGUACUUGCCAAGGGGAGAUCAAAAG